GCACCAUGAUCUCGCCCCUUGCGAGUCUGGCGUGAUGAUUGUGUAUUUCUACGCGACAGUUGCGUAAGAUGUGCGUGUGAUAUCCGAGAAUUAGGCGGCAAGAGAUCAACUGAAAAUCAAUAGACGCAGAGAAAGUAUCGGAAAGCCAC
ensembl:ncRNA C26E1.7 ncRNA